GCCGAUGUAGCUCAGCUGGUAGAGCACUUCACUCGUAAUGAAGGGGUCAGUGGUUCGAUUCCGCUCGUCGGCU
rnacentral:tRNA from 1 species